UACGUAGGGGGCAAGCGUUGUCCGGAAUCAUUGGGCGUAAAGCGUGCGCAGGCGGUUUUGUAAGCCAGAUGUGAAAGCCCCGGGCUCAACCUGGGAAUGGCAUUUGGGACUGCAAGGCUGGAGUUUGGCAGAGGAGACUGGAAUUCCUGGUGUAGCAGUGAAAUGCGUAGAUAUCAGGAGGAAUACCGAUGGCGAAGGCAGGUCUCUGGGCUAUAACUGACGCUCAUGCACGAAAGCGUGGGGAGCAAACAGG
rnacentral:rRNA from 1 species